rnacentral:rRNA from 1 species
GAUGAACGCUGGCGGCGUGCCUAAUACAUGCAAGUCGAGCGAACGGACGAGAAGCUUGCUUCUCUGAUGUUAGCGGCGGACGGGUGAGUAACACGUGGAUAACCUACCUAUAAGACUGGGAUAACUUCGGGAAACCGGAGCUAAUACCGGAUAAUAUUUUGAACCGCAUGGUUCAAAAGUGAAAGACGGUCUUGCUGUCACUUAUAGAUGGAUCCGCGCUGCAUUAGCUAGUUGGUAAGGUAACGGCUUACCAAAGCAACGAUGCAUAGCCGACCUGAGAGGGUGAUCGGCCACACUGGAACUGAGACACGGUCCAGACUCCUACGGGAGGCAGCAGUAGGGAAUCUUCCGCAAUGGGCGAAAGCCUGACGGAGCAACGCCGCGUGAGUGAUGAAGGUCUUCGGAUCGUAAAACUCUGUUAUUAGGGAAGAACAUAUGUGUAAGUAACUGUGCACAUCUUGACGGUACCUAAUCAGAAAGCCACGGCUAACUACGUGCCAGCAGCCGCGGUAAUACGUAGGUGGCAAGCGUUAUCCGGAAUUAUUGGGCGUAAAGCGCGCGUAGGCGGUUUUUUAAGUCUGAUGUGAAAGCCCACGGCUCAACCGUGGAGGGUCAUUGGAAACUGGAAAACUUGAGUGCAGAAGAGGAAAGUGGAAUUCCAUGUGUAGCGGUGAAAUGCGCAGAGAUAUGGAGGAACACCAGUGGCGAAGGCGACUUUCUGGUCUGUAACUGACGCUGAUGUGCGAAAGCGUGGGGAUCAAACAGGAUUAGAUACCCUGGUAGUCCACGCCGUAAACGAUGAGUGCUAAGUGUUAGGGGGUUUCCGCCCCUUAGUGCUGCAGCUAACGCAUUAAGCACUCCGCCUGGGGAGUACGACCGCGAGGUUGAAACUCAAAGGAAUUGACGGGGACCCGCACAAGCGGUGGAGCAUGUGGUUUAAUUCGAAGCAACGCGAAGAACCUUACCAAAUCUUGACAUCCUUUGACAACUCUAGAGAUAGAGCUUUCCCCUUCGGGGGACAAAGUGACAGGUGGUGCAUGGUUGUCGUCAGCUCGUGUCGUGAGAUGUUGGGUUAAGUCCCGCAACGAGCGCAACCCUUAAGCUUAGUUGCCAUCAUUAAGUUGGGCACUCUAAGUUGACUGCCGGUGACAAACCGGAGGAAGGUGGGGAUGACGUCAAAUCAUCAUGCCCCUUAUGAUUUGGGCUACACACGUGCUACAAUGGACAAUACAAAGGGCAGCGAAACCGCGAGGUCGAGCAAAUCCCAUAAAGUUGUUCUCAGUUCGGAUUGUAGUCUGCAACUCGACUACAUGAAGCUGGAAUCGCUAGUAAUCGUAGAUCAGCAUGCUACGGUGAAUACGUUCCCGGGUCU